UAGAAAAAAUGUAGUAUGUCCAAAUACACAACGUUCUUAUUUUUACUAUGCCGUAAAAUAGUAACCAUAACCAUUGAAAUAGUUAUGUGCAUUAAAAAAUUGUGACGACAACCACGACUCGGUAACAAUUCAAAUAGUGAUAGUAACUAUUGAACAUAGUUGACCAGUUUGUUUGGAAGACUCCAUUUUUCGGUAAAACACCUACACGAGGCAAAUGGUUCAACUCUUUUCGCGGUUGAUUGAAACCAAUGUUAUUAUGAAUAGUUGCUUCACGAUAUAGGAACUGCGCUAAUCAAUUUUUGGCUUGGUUUCACAGGUUGUCGCAAACACCAACUGAACUUUGACGAUUCAGAGGAAAAACGAACAUGUCGGAGUGAAUAGGCGGACUAGAGACUUUCAACUCGGAAGAUGACCCCGUAAUGCCGCCUAUGACCCAUGAAACGAUCUACAACUAAGGAUGGGUCGAAUGUAUCGACGAGGGGAUUCACGCCAUGAUCGUCGUAGUGACAUCCCAAUGGAACAGCAGGAGAUAGCGGCCAACAUGAUCCACAAGGACAUCGAAGCAUACGCCAAUGAAUACAUCUGAUCGGAAUGAACUCCCUUUGGACUGGGAAAACAACCAAAGCCAGUUGACCCCGUCCGGAACGUCUUCGCCAAUCGAGGACAGAGGCAGUACCAUCUAUAUAACCGAGAGCACUACCAGUGUGCUUGCCAGCAGGAUACUGCCGUAGACCAAGCCGUAGCCGAUCUGGUAUUGGAGUUCGAUUCCAACUAGCUUGACUGUGAAUCUUCACCAUGGAACCAGUUAUUUUUUAUGGAUACCUUCCGAUGGCAACAUUGCGUGUUCAAAUUAGCGAUGCAACUGCAUGUAAAAAAGUGAUAAAUAGUGAGUUUAGUGAAAUAAAUUAAAACAACUAAA